GUUUCACCAUGUUAGUUAGCCAGGCUGGUCUCGAACUCCUGACCUCAGGUGACCCACCCACCUUGGCUUCCCAAAGUGCUGGGAUUACAGGCAUGAGCCAUGGCACAGGGCCCUCCCUGGUCUUUAUAUUUUUAAAUAAUUGGGGAAAAUUUUAAAAAUAUUUCAUGGCAUGUGAAAAGUAUGUGUCCAGAAAUAAAGGUUUAUUGAAACACAGCCACACACAUUUGUUUACGUAUUGUCUAAGGUUACUUUUGUGCUACAACCGAAAAGUUGAGUAGCUGCCACAGAGAUUAUAUGAACUGCAAAGCCUAACAUACUUAUUACCUGACUCUUUGUUGAAAAAAAUUGUCUACCCUCUCUCUUAGUUUGAGCUGCUAUAUUAAAGUACCAUAAACUGGGUGGCUUGCAAAUUAACAGAAAUUCAUUUCUUAUCAUUCUGGAGGCCGGAAAUCGAAAAUCAGGGUGCCAGCAUGGUCAGUUCUAGUGAGAGCUGUCUUCUAGGUUGCAGACUGCCUACUUCUCAUUGUAUCCUCACAUGGCAGAAAGACAGCUACAUAACUCUCUGAGGUCUCUUUUAUGAGGUCACAAUCCCAUUCAUGAGGACUCCAUCUCAUGAAUGGAGGAUUCAUUCCCUAAUACUAUCACAUUGGGGAUUAGGAUUUCAACAUAUGAAUAUUAGGACACACAAAUAUUUGUUCCAUACCACUCUAUGCCUUGACAUUGGGUAAACAGGAGUGAACAAAACUAACAAAACUCUCUCUCUCUCAUGGAGUUUACAUUUUGAGCAAACAAUGUAGCAGGGAGUCACCAACUGGAUUACAGCCUACAAGUGUUAUGACUGGGUAAGUAUGGGUGUUACGGGAAAUAACAGAAGGGCUCCUAAUCAGAGUCAAGAGUAGGGGAAGGUGUAUUGAUCCAGGAGGAUAACCUGGAGAAAGUGGCAACUAAUCUAAGACUUGAAAGAUUAGAAGUUAACUAAGUAAAGAAAUGGGUGACAGAAUAAUGAUCCAUCCAGGCAGGGGAAAUAUCAUACCUAACAGUCCAGUGAUGAAAUACAGAAUUUUACAGGAAUUGAAAGCAGCUUAGUUUAACUGGAGCAGAAUGUGGAAGUGGAGAGAGGCCAGACAUAACAGCUACAGAGGGAAUAAGAGAUCAGUUCAUAAGGGGCCUUCUGUAAAGGAUUUAAAUUUUAACCCAAAGGUAAUGGAAACAUUUUAAGGGUUUUAAGAAGGGGUAUAAACUAAUCUUAUUUACACUGUAAGAAAGAGAACUCUGGCUUACAUUGUAGAGAACAUAAUGGAGAUACGUAAGCCUAGAGCACAGAAAAGAAAUGAGGAGACUGUAGCAUGAAUUCUAAGUAAAUGACAGGACUGUGACCUGGAGUAUGGUAGUCAUAGCUAGUAGGUAGUAAGCCUUAAAGGGUCAGAUAAGAUACAGAGUGUCUAGUGAUAAAGACUAUGCCAGUGUUUCAGACUCUUUCCAGCUAAAUCUCCCUUGUGUUUCAGAAUCUUUCUAGCUAAAUCUCCCUUCUUCCUGUCUCCAUGCCAUAUUCUGUAACAUCUACUAUACAACAUGUUGUUCUAGAUGCUGGGAAUACUGAGUAUGCCAUUAUCUCUGCCCUCCAAGUUUGUUUGCUAGGGCACAAACAAAUAAGAAAAGACAAAACAUUUAGUAAGAAAAAGAAAGUGGUACAUAGAGUACUAUAUAAACACAAAAGACAGGCGCUGAUUCAGCCAGGGGAAGGAGUAAAGGUAUCCUAGAAGAGGCAGCAGAUUGUAUAAAUUUUAAAAUGUCAACAUUAUUUUUCCUUCUAAACUUGCCAUACCCAAAUCAUGACUUACAAACACUACCCUCCUUCCACAGUCAGGACAAAUACAGAAUUGCAAUAUGUGUUCCCUUUGAGUGGGGGGUGGAGAGAGUCAUAUUUAAGUUAUGUGUUACCUGUUUUAAGAUAUGUGAUAACAGAAUCAACUCUAUUUCUUUCUUAAAACAGAAAUCCUUACCAAAUUAAACUACUUCCUUUGUGGAUGAAACUUAAUUGACUUUAUGUAUGGAAUACUGUCUUGAAAUAGUAAAAGCCUUCCCUUCUCCUUUCUAGCAAAGAAAAAUUAACCUUUAGCAAGUAAAAACAAACCCAAACCCAAACAAUAAGAUUACUUACCAGUCAGCAUAAAAAUUUACUAAAGCAACAUCAGCAUUGUCUGAAAUUGAAAGACAAAACCAAAGAAACUAAGUUAUUUGUAAUAAUUUUUACAUAAUUAAAGAUACAGUUUCAUUAUGAUCUUUGUCCAAUAUAAGGGUCCACUUAAAAAAACACAGUAACUAUUAUCUCUCACUUAGAAACCUAGAGUCAUGGACAGCUUAUAGAAUUUAUGGGAAACUUUGUCUCUUUUCUCUGUAUGCUUUAUAAGUUCACUGCAUCUUUUAUUUUAAGGAGACUGGGUCUCACUCUAUUGCCCAGGCUGGAGUGCAGUGGCAUGAUCAAAAUCCAGUGCAGCCUCAAAC